CUCUGGACCUCCUGACUGACAGCUCCAUCCUCAACCUCCCUUCCUGUCCUUCACACAUGUGCAGGCAGAGGCAGUUUUCUGAAGGAUGGUUAAUGUCAGUAUCAACAUGUUGUGAUGGAGGCUUCCACCUGAGCUGAACACAGAAACUUGCACACAGUGAUGGAAGCAGUCGUUCCUGUUCAGCAUUGAUAUGCCGGUAAUGGGUUUGAUGAGCCACAGCGUGGUGAUGGGCAAUCAGCAUCAGGACCAGGGCCGCUCACAAGGAGAACCUCCUGCCCUGCCUCUUCAUCCUCAACCUCCAAUCUUCCUGCUCUUCACACAUGUGCAGGCACAGAGCCAGUUUUCAGAGGGAGGGCUGAUGACACCAGCAACUUCGGAUCUGAACCUGAUCAACCCAGCACCAACCACUGUGCCGCUCCUCCUCUGCCAACUGCACCACAUGGCU